rnacentral:rRNA from 1 species
GAUGAACGCUGGCGGCGUGCUUAACACAUGCAAGUCGAACGAAGCACUUUAUUUGAUUUUCUUCGGAAAUGAAGAUUUGGUGACUGAGUGGCGGACGGGUGAGUAACGCGUGGAUAACCUGCCUCAUACAGGGGGAUAACAGCCGGAAACGGCUGCUAAUACCGCAUAAGCGCACGGUACCGCAUGGUACAGUGUGAAAAACUCCGGUGGUAUGGGAUGGAUCCGCGUCUGAUUAGCCAGUUGGCGGGGUAACGGCCCACCAAAGCGACGAUCAGUAGCCGACCUGAGAGGGUGACCGGUCACAUUGGGACUGAGACACGGCCCAAAACUCCUACGGGAGGCAGCAGUGGGGAAUAUUGCACAAUGGGGGAAACCCUGAUGCAGCGACGCCGCGUGAGCGAAGAAGUAUUUCGGUAUGUAAAGCUCUAUCAGCAGGGAAGAAGAAAUGACGGUACCUGACUAAGAGCCCCGGCUAACUACGUGCCAGCAGCCGCGG